UACGGGGGGAGCAAGCGUUGUUCGGAUUUACUGGGCGUAAAGGGCGCGUAGGCGGUCAGCACAAGUCAGUUGUGAAAUCUCCGGGCUUAACCCGGAAAGGUCAACUGAUACUGUGCGACUAGAGUGCGGAAGGGGCAACUGGAAUUCUCGGUGUAGCGGUGAAAUGCGUAGAUAUCGGGGGGAACACCAGUGGCGAAGGCGGCUCUCUGGGGUGCACCUGACGCUGAUGCGCGAAAGCGUGGGGAGCGAACCGG
rnacentral:rRNA from 1 species